rnacentral:lncRNA from 12 species
UGGUCAGAAACAGCAAACAAACAAAAGGACCUGAGCCCUGAAUCCCGGGGACCCCCCCACCCCAGGUUGCACCGACGCGUAAAGCACGACCAGCUGAAGCCGGAGCCCCGGGGAAGGACGGGCCCCGGGUUCGCGCGACCGCAGCCCCUGCAGCCUCGCACGACUCCGCAAACGGGUCACGGACUGCACACCCCGCGCAUCACAAACUCUCCUCCCGCCCCGACCCAGCGGGAGCCGCCACCUGGGCGCACGCCGCGCUGCUUCCCGGGAGCGCUCGUGCCUCCUGCGCGGGGAAGCCCUGCGGCUCCGGGCACCGGGGGCCCCUCUCCCCGGGGCGGAGGCCCGACCUCGGCCACCCCGGCUCCGCUCGGCCGGGGCAGGGGAGGAUGGAGGGGGGAUGCGUCCGCGCCCCGGCUGCCGCGCGCUCUCCGGGGCUGGCGUCACCAGCCCCCCGCCUGCAGCCGGCUACCGCGCGCCCACCUGCGCUCGCCCCCGACCCCUCGCGCGCGGGGGGAGGCGUUCCAGCCCCGCGGGCCCCGCCGGGUGACCUCGGGGCCUCGUGCCCCCACCCCAGCAGCCCAGCUCCGGCCCUGGCGCAGCGAGCGCGGACCCUCCGCGCGCACACACCCGCGCGGCGCACGCCCGGGGCCCGGGACCCCGACUCCGCGGUGCGCCCGGGGCGCAGGGGGCGCUGCCCUCCCCGCCGCAGCUGCGGGGGGCUCGGGGCCCCGCCGGCACACGCCCUCGCGCCCAGCCCCCGCCGCCCGCGGCCGCGGCCCACCCGGCACACGUGCAACGAUUGCCAAGCAGCUCGGGCAGGGCCGCCGCCGCCGGCUCCGCGCAGCAACCCCUGCUAAUUGCGGGGGAAGGGCGCGCGGGGCGCGCGGAGCCACGGGGAACCGAGGAUGCGCUCGGAGGCUGCGCUGCCCGCCGGGGGAGGGGAGCGGAAGAGGCGGGGGCGAUGGGGGAGAGGGGGCGCUUGCAGGCGGCCCCGGCUCUGCUGGACUUGGAGUGCACAGGAAGGGGUGGGAAGUUUUGCCGAGUUGCGUAGCAGGUGUUUGCUCUCCACGCAGGGGCUUGGCUACGCAGAGCCAGGGGCUGCGCUCAGGCCCCGGCCCCGACCUGGGAAAAACCCCGCACGCACUUCCCGGGGGCGCCGCGGGUUUGCGCUGGACUUUUCCUGCAGGGCAUCUCCAGCCAGCCCCGCGCGACCCCAGGCCGCUAUCCAUCCCCCCCACCUCGCCCCUGCUCCGCCGGCUGUGCCUCCGCAGCAGCCCCAACAGCGGCGCCCAAGGCGGGGCGUCUGCACAGCGCUGGGCCCGGGGGCAGAGGGGAGGUGUCUGCAGCAGGUCCCCGACUGCGAGCGACAGGAGCUCAGGCGCCCCAGCGCCACACAUUCGCGCUCCCCGGGCUCUUGGGGCGCGUUCCCGCAGACCCCGGGCGGCAGGGGUGAGUGCGUGCGCCGAGGGUGGGGGGGUCUGCAGCCCCGGGGUCAGCUCUCCACCCGCCCUGGCCGCCGCCGGGCGCGGGGAGCCUCAUCUGCCAUUCUCUCCACCUCUCCCCAGGCCAGGCCCAUCUGGAGUUUCCUAA